AUCUUCUUUGAAACUUACUGCCACGUGCAUCGGAGAAAAAAAUUUUCCCCCAUCUAUCCGAAGAGCAAAUGCAAAUGAAAGCUCCCCUCUUAUUCGCCUUCUCUAUCUCGAGAGGUCUUAUAAUCGUGUCACGAGGAGAAAGCGAAUUGAUGAAAUCAGAAAUGCAGAUCAUGACUGCACAAUUGAGAUUAACUGUAUACAUCAAUGGUUAAAAUGCGUCUAAAGAGGGCGAAAAUAGAUUUCACUCUUUUAAAAGGGACCCAUUUUUUUCUACGAGCCAGAAAGAGAACACUCUUUACACCCAUUCUUCACUGUUUAUGAACUAACCUCCAUUUUCUCUACGUUAAAAACUCUUCUGCAACAAAAAGGCAACAUAAAAAUAUAGAAAUAUAUACAUAUAUAACCUAAGAAUAUAGACCAAGUAAUUUUACUUGAACCUUACUUAUGUAUUUGCAACUCUUAAAAAAAAAUCUUUUCUUCGUUAUAAAUAUCUCUCUUAUCAUUUCUAUUAUCAUUUCUUACAAUUGUUGAAUGUAAAAUUUGUGUUUCCAGAGAUUCACUGUAAAAAGUGAAACAAACUUCCCGCCAUUUUUUCGACUCAACGUUAUUCCAUACUUCUCUGAGAAAAAAAUUUCUCACAAGCGAAUCGACUGACGUCCGUUUUCUCACGUUUUCCGCUCGAAAAGUUACGGUCACUCAACCGAGACCUCAUAGUUUAAUUCGGCGUGCACUUGAUUCGAGAGAUCAUGUGCAACCUGUGCCUAUAUACAGGGGUAACCGAACUCCAAAAACACCCCCAAGGGUCCAGGGCGGCCGACACAACGUUUAAAAUAAAUUUCAAUUCGAAGCGAGAAAGGGGGAUAUGUGCGUGUGUAUCACUUUCAUUAGACCUCUGUCGUGUUUAACGAGCUAUUGAUAUCUUCCACUCACUGGAUCUACCACUGUGUAAGUAGAUUGGUAUGGGCGUAUACAUGUACGAGCUUGCCACGGUAAUCGUUACUAUCCCCUUUUCCAGAGCUCCCUUUUUCAACCAAGGAAAUCACCAUAUGUAUGCAAUGUGUGUGUGUGUAAAGGCGCGGUGAAAUCUAUAGUGAUUCCAUUCUAAAGUUUUGCCCUAUGGGAAAGUUCAGAUGCUCGGAUAAUUGCGGUUAAACCAGAAAAUUAGGUUUAUGACGAAUCACUGAUCACCGAGGGCGAGUUGUGGGAAGUUUUACAAGAUGACCAUUCUUUCCUUAUGAAAUAUAUUGUUACAAUCGAAUGUUGUAUCAACUUGAUAGAAUACGUAGUUUCAAAAUUUCACGGUAGAUGGAUAAACUUGUUCAUCCUUUUUGCGAUUUAUUUGAAUUAAUUUCAAACAUUUUCCUCGAGAAAAGUUCAAUUUCCUUCAAUACAAAUUCAAGAGGACAAGAUGAUCAUUCUUUCCUUAUGGGAUAUAUUAUUACAUCGAAUUAUUGUACCAGUUUGAUAGAAUUAUAUGUAGUUUCAAAAUUUCACGGUAGAUGGAUAAACUUGUUCAUUCUUUUUGCGAUUUCUUUGAAUUAAUUUCAAGCAUUUUCCCCGGGAACGGUUCAGUUUCCUUCGACAAUACAAAUUCAAGAGGACAAAGCACAGGAAUUCUUUGAAAGACCAAUGCGCAAGGUUGGAGCUCGAAGUUCUAUCCCCCUUGCCGUGAAUAAGAAACGUAUGAAAAAAGGGGCCAGGAAAUGUGUACACCCACAAGGAUCCGGUUCUGUUGUGAAAUAACCAUGCCGAUUGUUCUUAUUUUUUAUUUUUUGUUUUCUUCUUCUCGCUUCAUUCUUAUUUUACGAUAAAAGUAAAAUUAAAUAUGUAAAUGUAUGUAUAGAUGUAUAUAUGUAUAUAUGUAUGCAUAAUGUAUAUGUAAAUGUAUGUAGAUGCACACACAACAUAUAGAACGAAAGAGGUUAACAAUGGAAGAAAUUUAUCUUAUGUACAACUCAGCAUACCGUAUCGAAUCAUGCCUUCACAAAUUAUAAGUUGUAAAAGAAUCUUAUUGACCUAUUAGAAUGCAAGGAGAAAAAAGACUAUAUGGCAGUUGGAAGAAAUUGUGGAUCCUUCCAUCUCUAUAGAAUCCUAUAUAAAUCGUGGGCUGUGGCUUUCUAUGGAGGAACACGUGCCAGCCACAUGUUGCACAAAACGAAUCCUUCAGUGAUCCUUCCGAAUAUCCGAAGCGUAAAGUCGCAGUUACAAAGGAGUUCUAGAACCCCAUAAAUGAUUCUCUUUCGGACGAAGGAUAUGAAAUAUCGGCAGAUGUUUUCCGCCUGAAUCUUUUCAAAGAUGUUGAAUUUCUUAUAUGCGGACGUUUCAAAAGGAAUAUGUAUGGAAUAUUAUAAAAUAUCAAUAAUUUCAAUCAAUCUAACCUAACUUAACCUAAUAUUCUGAAUCAUUUCAGAAAAUUUUCAAUGUUUGUUCUAAUUUUUUUUUAAUACUUUUUGCGAUUAUUUAUGUUUACGAUUAUUAUUAUUUAACCAAUUAAUUGAUUAUUAUUUUCAAUGAUAAUUAAUAGCUCUAAAAUUUUAAAUUUGAAUUUUACCAUAUUUCAAAUACAAAUUAUUUUACUCUAUAAUAUAUAUACUUUAUUAUAAUAAACAUAUUGUGUUGUAAAUUACUUGAAGAAAUAAUUUUUGACAGGCAUAUAUAAUCUAACAAGUUACGAUCAAGGAACGGGACGAUUCUCGAGAACACGUGGUUGUGACCAUCUGUUGGCAUACUGCUUCGACCAUCCAUCUUAUCCUUAGAAACCUUGCAAGUUCUUCUCUCCUGCAUCCGCAAAAUUAACACACACGACCAUCAAUCUUUUUGAAAUUUUAUUUUAUUUAUAAAAUAUAUAUUUAUGAAAUGCAAGGAGAUAAAGCAUCGAUUAGACGAGAAAAUAAAAGAAAAUAGAAUAGAUAUAAUAGGAAAAUGAGACAAAAGAAAUCCUUUAGAAAUUCCACUUUGUAUCGUCUUCAUCGUGAAAUUACCACAAAGAAGACGAGGUGUAAACUUUCCCAGCAACACGUUUAAAUAUUUAUCUUAAAGAACGACUUAUGCUCUUAAUAAUGAACAACGAAUUUUUAAGAGGAUACGAUAGAACGGAUAUGUUUUCAAGAAGAUGUAACCGGCACGAUUUCAAAGUUGUAAAAGCUGGAGGAUCCGUUUGAGCGGACCGCUUUGUGUCCCGCGAUAAAAAGUAUUUCAAGCAGGUAAAACAUUCCUACUGAAACGAUUCUACCCGAUCCACCUGGCUUUCACACUACAUUUUCGACCACAAUUUUUUUCUAUAAUUAUCUGUAAAUUGAAAUUUUUGGAAGAACAAUAUAUUCGAAAGCUAAAAACGCUACAUAUUUGAUUGAUCGACGAGUUAUUUUCGAAGGAAAAUCCGAGGAGGAUCCUAAGUUGGCUGACAGUAUUGAAGAAAGUCGUCAAAAUUGCAGCUUAAGAACCUAAUAUCGACGGCUUUCGAGAAAAGGCUUGGAUAUUACAUAUCGCUAUAAAGUGCUCUUUCUAAAAUAUCAUCUUCUUCUGACAAAUGAACUUUCUCUUCGUUUUUUUUUUCUUUUGAAAUUCUAGAAACGAAACGUGACUAUCAUAGAUACAUAUUGUAUCAUAGAUAAUUUUGAAGAACAGGAAAUGCACGAUGAGACUGUUUCUUAGCUGGACAUCCGGUUCGCCACGCGCACUGCGUGUGUCUUACUUGACGUCACAACACACACCUGCUUCCUCACAGCUGUUCUCCAGUCCAGUGGUGGGAAGUAUCGCAGUGGGAGCUGCGACCACCCCUCGACAAAACGUAAGGAUAUGUGUUUUACAAACGCCAGACACACACCAUCGAGUGAUCCAGUCGCAACAGAUGCAAGAAUACGCGCUAUUUCUUUCUUCAUCUCUCCCUUGGCCAUGUCUUUUUCCCUCUCUGAUUCUCUUUUUUCCCAUUGGGGUGCAUGCACUCCCUGGAGAUAUUUCUGGAAGGGAUGACGAACCCGAUCGGUUAACUAGAGUAUUGUUCGAUUAUUAUUUCGGUACAUAUCGUGCACUUGUUAUCUCUUUGUGCGGUCAUAUGGUGGUCCAAGGGUGAUCGUGCCGUCGAUGACGGAUCUGUCGUUGCAUCAAACUGUUAGGGAUGUCUAUGGUUAUCCAUAUAAUUCCAUAUUAUGCAUUUAAGAAAAAUGUAUUUAAAUAUAAAAUACUUAUCAAGGGAAAACAAUGAAAUAUUUUUAAUAUAUAUAAAAACGUCAAUAGAUGGAUAAUAACGUUGAGAUUAAUGAGUGUUCAUAUCUUGUUGAACAAUCCCCUAUAUCGUAACAUUGAUUGCAUCUACACUUGUUUAGUAUUUCUUUCUUACAAUUCCUUUUUUAUAUAUAUAUUUCAAAAAUAAUUCCAAGCAUGCAACAAGAAAUAAGAAAUGACAGGAAGAAGAAGAGGGAAGAAGAAAAAAAGAAGGUAAAGAAGGAGAUAGAAGGAAAAAUGGAGGACAAUGAUCCUCAGAAACGGAGAGAACAUCUGCUCUGUGGGCCCAGAUCGUAGCAUGUCCUCCUUCAAUAAGAGGCGAUCGCGUCGUGAAACUUGUCCCACCUCACCACGCAUAGCGAGAUUCUUUAACGACGGACAAAAUUGAGGCACGUGCAUCGAGUUGCACGCGGGCGAUCUUUCUUUUCGACCGAAGAGAAAAAAAAUAGCAUGCUCACACGCUCCUAAUCAUUGUCUGGCUACGGAAAUUCGCUGCCCCAACGAAUUAUUAUAGAUUAUCUAUAGAAUUAAUAAUAGAGAUCUUUUAAUAAUAAUAAUAAUAAUAAAAUAUACCGAUGAAUAUAUAAUAUCGAUCUAACUUUUUAAAGUGGUUAAAAUACUUCAAAGGAACAGAAAAACUUUAAGGAUUUGAUCAUGUGGCCUUCUCGGAUUCCAGCUAUCUAGCAGCUGCUCUUCGUAUCUCGUUUUUUUUUAUAUCGUGUUUUUCCAUGUCACCGGCUAUACCACCUCCACACUGUGCAGCAAUAUAGAGAGCAGCUCGUAGGAGAGAGAUUCGUCGACAUAAAGCGAAAGACACUGAGACAGCUGGAUUCACGUGACUACCUGUAUCAUUUUAUUACAAGUUUUAUUACAAUCUUAUACAAAACAAAAUUGAA